ensembl:snoRNA small nucleolar RNA SNORD41
CUGGAGGUGAUGUUUACUGACCGCUGAUGCCAGUGAUGGUAUUUGUAUUCAUACUGUCUGAUCUAG